GAAGUCACUUCAGUGAUAGGAAGUCGCUUGUGUAACUGCCGGGGAAGCUCUGACCUGGGAUGAUGACGUGUUUUUCUCCAAAGCUUGUCAGCAGAAGCGGAGGAUGUCACCAGGUCGUAAACCUCAGAGGCAGAAUCCACACUAAGGUCCCGCCUGCUUGGGAGCCCCACCAGCUGCCUCCAGGCAGAAGUCAAGUCAAGUCAGUAAGCGUUUAUUCACCACCUGCUGCAUACUAGGCUCUGCUCUAAUUACCAGGGACUCAAAGAAAGGCAAAAGUGAAACAAAACCGAGGCCUAAAUCCUGCUCCUUUACUGGCCAGGGAGCUUGGACCAAUAAAUCACUUCCCUUCCUGUG